rnacentral:lncRNA from 1 species
AGAUAUACAAGUAGUGCCUGUAUUGCUUAAAGCAAGGAUUGUGGACUCUCCACGGGAAGUGUCAAUGUUACUUGUUUUUAUAUCCUCCGGCAAGAGAAAAUCCAGUGACUGAAAAAGAAUAAGAAGAAAAACACUGACCAAGGCAAUAAUUCCAAGAAGUCAAAAAUUAAGGCCUGAGAGGAAGAAGGCAGACUAAAGAAAGUAGUUAAGACAGUGACCUGAACCAAAGUGCUGGC